rnacentral:rRNA from 1 species
AAAGCGUGCGCAGGCGGUUUUGUAAGACUGUCGUGAAAUCCCCGGGCUCAACCUGGGAAUGGCGAUGGUGACUGCAAGGCUAGAGUUUGGCAGAGGGGGGUAGAAUUCCACGUGUAGCAGUGAAAUGCGUAGAUAUGUGGAGGAACACCGAUGGCGAAGGCAGCCCCCUGGGUCAAAACUGACGCUCAUGCACGAAAGCGUGGGGAGCAAACAGGAUUAGAUACCCAGGU